ACUGGAAGUAUCAGCGGGCGCGUCUCCCCCGGCCCGAGAGGGUCGGGAAACCUCUGAACCACCUCCCGUGAUAGGGAUCGGGGCCUGGAACCAACCCCGUGAAC
rnacentral:rRNA from 1 species